rnacentral:tRNA from 1 species
GCGCCAGUGGUGUAAUGGCGUAGAGCAUUCCCGCCCGGUCAGCAGGCAGUGCGGGUUCAAGUCCCGCCUGACGCU